AUAAUUGAAUAAAGAUUUGGUGUUGGAUGAACAACAUAAUAGGGAAACUGGUGAAAAUCCAGUACUGUCCUCGCAACUGUAAGUGUGUACGAAAAGGAUUCCACUGUGUGUAUAACAUGGGAAGGACCUAGAGUAGGAAGAAGCACAAGUCAGUAGACCUGCCAGAUCUGUUCUUUUCCA
rnacentral:ncRNA from 2 species